UGGUUUGGCUCCCUAUUUAUAACUAAUGUGUACAACCCUUUGUUUCCUUAUUUAGAUGGAGUCUUUUUCCUAUUUGGAGUUUGAUUCUUUGAAGGCAAUUGAAUCUUCUUGAGAUUUGGCUUCCUUAAUAUGCGGGAUAGGGUGCUGAGUUGUCUUGAAGGGUUGCUGAGCUGUUUUCACGUGUUUGGGGAAUGAUAGAUUUCUUGAAGGUUUGAAUUUUAAAUCUCCUGCGUUUCUGCUAUCUGUUAUCGCAGGUUCUG
rnacentral:lncRNA from 1 species